UGCCUAGGGAUCUGCCCAGUCGAGGGGGAUAACCAUUGGAAACGAUGGCUAAUACCGCAUACGCCCUACGGGGGAAAGGAGGGGACCUUCGGGCCUUUCGCGAUUGGAUGAACCUAGGUGGGAUUAGCUAGUUGGUAAGGUAAUGGCUUACCAAGGCGACGAUCCCUAGCUGGUUUGAGAGGAUGAUCAGCCACACUGGAACUGAGACACGGUCCAGACUCCUACGGGAGGCAGCAGUGGGGAAUAUUGCACAAUGGGCGCAAGCCUGAUGCAGCCAUGCCGCGUGUGUGAAGAAGGCCU
rnacentral:rRNA from 1 species